GCAGUCGAGCGGAGUGAUAGUGCUUGCACUAUCACUUAGCGGCGGACGGGUGAGUAAUGCUUAGGAAUCUGCCUAUUAGUGGGGGACAACAUUUCGAAAGGAAUGCUAAUACCGCAUACGUCCUACGGGAGAAAGCAGGGGAUCUUCGGACCUUGCGCUAAUAGAUGAGCCUAAGUCGGAUUAGCUAGUUGGUGGGGUAAAGGCCUACCAAGGCGACGAUCUGUAGCGGGUCUGAGAGGAUGAUCCGCCACACUGGGACUGAGACACGGCCCAGACUCCUACGGGAGGCAGCAGUGGGGAAUAUUGGACAAUGGGCGCAAGCCUGAUCCAGCCAUGCCGCGUGUGUGAAGAAGGCCUUAUGGUUGUAAAGCACUUUAAGCGAGGAGGAGGCUACUUUAGUUAAUACCUAGAGAUAGUGGACGUUACUCGCAGAAUAAGCACCGGCUAACUCUGUGCCAGCAGCCGCGGUAAUACAGAGGGUGCAAGCGUUAAUCGGAUUUACUGGGCGUAAAGCGCGCGUAGGCGGCUAAUUAAGUCAAAUGUGAAAUCCCCGAGCUUAACUUGGGAAUUGCAUUCGAUACUGGUUAGCUAGAGUGUGGGAGAGGAUGGUAGAAUUCCAGGUGUAGCGGUGAAAUGCGUAGAGAUCUGGAGGAAUACCGAUGGCGAAGGCAGCCAUCUGGCCUAACACUGACGCUGAGGUGCGAAAGCAUGGGGAGCAAACAGGAUUAGAUACCCUGGUAGUCCAUGCCGUAAACGAUGUCUACUAGCCGUUGGGGCCUUUGAGGCUUUAGUGGCGCAGCUAACGCGAUAAGUAGACCGCCUGGGGAGUACGGUCGCAAGACUAAAACUCAAAUGAAUUGACGGGGGCCCGCACAAGCGGUGGAGCAUGUGGUUUAAUUCGAUGCAACGCGAAGAACCUUACCUGGCCUUGACAUAGUAAGAACUUUCCAGAGAUGGAUUGGUGCCUUCGGGAACU
rnacentral:rRNA from 1 species